rnacentral:rRNA from 1 species
UACGGAGGGUGCGAGCGUUGUCCGGAAUCACUGGGCGUAAAGGGCGCGUAGGUGGCGGAGCAAGUCAACGGUGAAAGCUCGACGCUCAACGUCGAGUCGGCCGUCGAGACUGCUUUGCUCGAGCACUGUAGAGGCAGAUGGAAUUCCGGGUGUAGCGGUGGAAUGCGUAGAGAUCCGGAAGAACACCGGUGGCGAAGGCGGUCUGCUGGGCGAGUUGCUGGACACUUGAGGCGCGACAGCGUGGGGAGCAAACAGGGAAUUAGAAACCCGGUGAGACC